AGCGAACGCUGGCGGCAGGCUUAACACAUGCAAGUCGAGCGGGCACUUCGGUGUCAGCGGCAGACGGGUGAGUAACACGUGGGAACGUACCCUUCGGUUCGGAAUAACGCUGGGAAACUAGCGCUAAUACCGGAUACGCCCUUUUGGGGAAAGGUUUACUGCCGAAGGAUCGGCCCGCGUCUGAUUAGCUAGUUGGUGGGGUAAUGGCCUACCAAGGCGACGAUCAGUAGCUGGUCUGUGAGGAUGAUCAGCCACACUGGGACUGAGACACGGCCCAGACUCCUACGGGAGGCAGCAGUGGGGAAUAUUGGACAAUGGGCGCAAGCCUGAUCCAGCCAUGCCGCGUGAGUGAUGAAGGCCUUAGGGUUGUAAAGCUCUUUUGUCCGGGACGAUAAUGACGGUACCGGAAGAAUAAGCCCCGGCUAACUUCGUG
rnacentral:rRNA from 1 species